CAUUGAGAGACUGCUGCAGCUAUGGCCCAAGGGCCUGCCUGGCUAAGGCUUCAGCUGUCAGCUGCUUUUCCAGCUGUGCACAGUGCAACAUUCGACAUUCCUGGAUCUCCAACACCCUGUGGUCUCUCCAUUGAGGCGUUAUCUUCAUAGCUAUAUACUGUUCUUUUUCUUUUCCUUUUUGAAAUACUCCAUACUGACCGGACAAAUUGGCUGGAUCAAUUUACCUUCCCACUAGCAGUGUAUCAAAGUUCUCUUUUGUCCAUGCCCUCACCAAUAUUUCUAAUUUUUUUUUUAUGACUGCCACUCUGACUGGGGAAAGAUGGGAUCUCGCUGUAGUUUUGGUUUGCCUAUUUCGGAUGGCUGGUUAAGCUGACCAUAUUUCAUAGGGGUGUUGGCCAUUCUCAUCUCACCUUUCAUCCUAUUUAUUGCUCGGGUUGUUUAGCUUCUUGUUUGUUUGUUUUUUUGGUUUUGUUUUACAAUACAGGGUUUCUCUGUGUAGCCUGGAUUCGCUUUGCAGACCAGAUUGGCCUAGAACUCACAGAGAUCCACCUGCCUCUGCCUCCCAAGUGCUGGGAUUAAAGGCGUCUUGUUUAGUUUUUUAAUUAUUUGUAUAUUCCAGGUCUUAAUCCUUCAUCAUAUGUAUGGCUAGCCAUGAUGACCUGGCUGUUACCCUCCUGUUCUUUUGAACACUCAAUAGAAUGCCCACUUGGCUUUGUCUGCACAGUAGGGCUUCUCCAGCUCAGUCUACAAACUCUUGCCACACACUGUUUCCAAUGGCUGAAGAACCGUAUGGUCAGGUUUUCUCAUAGCAACCCCACUUUCCUCGUACCGAUUCCAUUUUGUUUGGAUGGUUUUGUUUUUCAAGACAGGGUUUCUUUGUGUAACCCUGGCUGUCCUGGAACCAGCUCUGUAGACCAGACUGGACUUCAGAGAUCCAUCUGCCUCUCGAGUGCUAGGACUAAAGGCAUGCGCCACCACCAUCUGGUCCCAGUUUUGUUAUUUUUACACGGGUGUGACUAAAUGCAUGGCAAGAACAACGUAAGAGAGUGUCAAGAUAAGCUUGAUUGAGACCCAUAGAGAAUGGUAAAUGAAGCGUCAUCAACUCCUAUAACUUCUCGAAAGAUCCUGACCCACUGCACAUAGUGUUUAUCCGCUAGGGACUCCUAGCACAGUAGUGAAGUCUCAAAAUGGAUCCAAGGCUAGGCUGGUGACUGCUUCCCCCUUCUUUAGGGAAGUCUCCUGGGGUGACCUUGCCCCCACACCCCACAUUCCUUAUAGUCACACCAACCUGAUGGACUGUUACGGGUGUUUGAGGCUAGCAUGAGUCAAUCUGACUGACCCUUCAAUCAUACAAAGGCUGUUUCACUACACAAUAAAGUUAGACCUGCACCUUGA